AUACGUAGGGAGCGAGCGUUGUCCGGAAUUACUGGGCGUAAAGGGCGCGUAGGCGGCGCUUCAAGUCGUCUGUCAAAUGGGAGGGCCUAACCCUUUUUCGCAGACGAAACUGGAGAGCUUGAGAAGCAGAGAGGCAAACAGAAUUCCUGGUGUAGCGGUGAAAUGCGUAGAUAUCAGGAAGAAUACCAGUGGCGAAGGCGGUUUGCUGGCUGCAUACUGACGCUGAAGCGCGAAAGCCAGGGGAGCAAACGGGAUUAGAUACCCCGGUAGUCCUGGCAGUAAACGAUGCAUGCUGGGUGUGAGACUAGCGAUAGUUUCGUGCCGAAGUUAACGCGAUAAGCAUACCGCCUGGGGAGUACGGUCGCGAGAUUGAAACUUAAAUGAAUUGGCGGGG
rnacentral:rRNA from 1 species